UUAUACUAUUGAGGCGAGCAUAUUAUGUUUAUAAUAUUGAUUUAUUUUAAAAUAGAAAUAAGUAAUUUUGGGUGGGUGAAAUCAUCAUAAUGCAAAAUUCUAAAAUUAAAUCUUAAAAAUUUUAAUAGAAACUAGGAUUAGAUACCCUAUUAUAAAAAUAUUAAAAAUUAGGUAAUAACGGAGUUUCUGAAACCUAAAGGACUUGGCGGUAUUUUAAAUAAUUGGAGGAACUUGUUGUUUAAUUGAAGUUACACAACAUAUCUUUCCUUAUUUUUGCUUGUAUAUCAUUGUUUUAAGAUAACAUUUUCUAAUAUAGUCUAAAUCAAGUUUGUUCAAAAAAUCAAAUCAAGGCGCAGCAUAAUAAGGUUAUAAUGAGUUACAAUGAAAUUUAUUCAAAACGGAAAUAAAAAGUAAAAUAUAUUGAAGGUGGAUUCAAAAAUAAUAAAAAAUCAA
rnacentral:rRNA from 1 species